rnacentral:lncRNA from 1 species
ACGUCUCCUGUUUCCCUUACGUCACUCACCCUUUCUCUCCUAUACUUCUCACGAGUACGUUUUCCUCAGUUUUCGACCGUUGGAUGAUCAUCAUAAAGUCAUUUGACACUCACAAUUUUAGACCUAUAAGGUUGAAGUGGACGUACUCUUUAGUAGCGGUGAGUAUCUUCUCCACCUGCAAGAGAGCCGUUGCUGGACCCACUGGGUAGAAGCUGACCAGUCACUUUCUUUUUGCCAAAAUUUAAAUCAGAUUAACGUUCAAAAACACCAAACCAACGGCUAUAAAUUUGGCCUCUCCAGUUCUUGCUCUCACAACUCUAAAUCUUACGGAGAGAGCACGAAUCUCACACACUCUCCAACAUUUUCUCUCUGCUCUGUCUCUCUCUCUAGAAAUGGCGCACGCUAGCAUCGCCAGAGCUACUUAUCUCGUUGUCUUCGUCGUGGCGUGCUUCCUCUCUGGGGCGGUUGUCAAGGCACAGGAGCAGGACACUGUGCCUGCGCCGGCGCCGUCGCCGACGAUAGAGCACGGAUCUGGAUUUGCGGUGCCGGUGUCCGGCGCCGUGGUUUGCUGCUCUGUGUUGAUUUCCAUGGUGGCGCUUCUUCGGCAGUAGAAUUUGGGAGGUUUGGGAAGGAAAAUUUCUACAUUUGUGGUUUGAGAUGAGGAGAGUGAAUAUCGAUGUUUCUGUUAUUCAUUUGCCCUAAUUUUUGGUUAGGGUUGUGAUAUUAUAUAUGCCUUUUACCAUAUUAAUAAAAUCAUAUUAUGCUAUUAAAUCUUUGUCUUCAAAUUUAUUUAUUUUUCUGUGUUUUAAAUUUAUGGUAAUUGAUCUUGAUGCAACUGAACCAAAUUCAAUUACAAAAUCAGUUGGCCCCACUUUUGGACUGAUAAAAAGAGGGAUUUUCUUUUCUUCCUUUUUGAAUCAGUUUCCUUUUCUAUUAAUUUUUACAAAAAGUUAAACCGUUUAAAAAUUCAAAUGCAAAAAGUGACAUCUUAUU